GUGAAUCAUCGAAUCUUUGAACGCAAAUUGCACUCUCUUCGGAGAGUAUGCCUGUUUGAGGGUCAGUAUUAAUAAAAAUCGGUGUGUUGCUUCUUUGUGACGCUCCGGAGUUUGGGUCAUCUUAAUAUCCUUUAGGUUUUAAGGGGCUUAAAAUUGACCUUAUUUGCGCAUUUUUAGACGUACAUAAAUUUUUUUUUUUUUCGUCUAUUCUUAAUUCCAAAAUCUUAUUAAAUGCGAUCCCAUUGUGUGAUUUCGUGCC
rnacentral:misc_RNA from 1 species